rnacentral:rRNA from 1 species
UACGUAGGGUGCAAGCGUUAAUCGGAAUUACUGGGCGUAAAGCGUGCGCAGGCGGUCUUGCAAGACAGAUGUGAAAUCCCCGGGCUUAACCUGGGAACUGCAUUUGUGACUGCAAGGCUGGAGUGCGGCAGAGGGGGAUGGAAUUCCGCGUGUAGCAGUGAAAUGCGUAGAGAUGUGGAGGAACACCGAUGGCGAAGGCAGCCCCCUGGGUCAAAACUGACGCUCAUGCACGAAAGCGUGGGGAGCAAACAGG